rnacentral:rRNA from 1 species
GCAGCGGAGCGUGUGGUUUAAUUCGAUGCAACGCGAAGAACCUUACCAGGGCUUGACAUGCUUGAAGUAGAAACUCGAAAGAGGGACGACCUGUAUCCAAUCAGGAGCUUGCACAGGUGCUGCAUGGCUGUCGUCAGCUCGUGCCGUGAGGUGUUAGGUUAAGUCCUGCAACGAGCGCAACCCUCGUCGCUAGUUAAUUUUUCUAGCGAUACUGCCCGUAUAACGCGGAGGAAGGUGGGAUGACGUCAAGUCAGCAUGGCCCUUACGUCCUGGGCUACACACACGCUACAAUGGGUGAUACAAAAGGUUGCAAUAGAGUGAUCUGGAGCUAAUCCUGAAAAUCAUCCUCAGUUCGGAUUGUAGGCUGAAACUGCCUGCAUGAAGUUGGAGUUGCUAGUAACCGCAGGUCAGCACACUGCGGUGAAUACGUUCUCGGGCCUU